AGAGUUUGAUCAUGGCUCAGAACGAACGCUGGCGGCAUGCCUAACACACGCAAGUCGAACGAUCCCUUCGGGGAUAGUGGCGCACGGGUGCGUAACGCGUGGGAAUCUGCCCUUAGGUUCGGAAUAACUCAGGGAAACUUGAGCUAAUACCGGAUGAUGACUUCGGUCCAAAGAUUUAUCGCCUAGGGAUGAGCCCGCGUCGGAUUAGCUAGUUGGUGAGGUAAAGGCUCACCAAGGCGACGAUCCGUAGCUGGUCUGAGAGGAUGAUCAGCCACACUGGGACUGAGACACGGCCCAGACUCCUACGGGAGGCAGCAGUGGGGAAUAUUGGACAAUGGGCGCAAGCCUGAUCCAGCAAUGCCGCGUGAGUGAUGAAGGCCUUAGGGUUGUAAAGCUCUUUUACCCGGGAAGAUAAUGACUGUACCGGGAGAAUAAGCCCCGGCUAACUCCGUGCCAGCAGCCGCGGUAAUAC
rnacentral:rRNA from 1 species